CCAUUAGCUCUAACUGACGCUC
rnacentral:misc_RNA from 1 species